rnacentral:rRNA from 1 species
AUUGAACGCUGGCGGCAGGCCUAACACAUGCAAGUCGAGCGGCAGCAGGGUGAUUGCUUGUGGUUACAGGGGCCGAGGGGCGGGUGAGGGCUAGGUACAUGGGAAGCUGCGGGUGCUUGCGUGCGAACGUGGGCACUCAUACCCUAUUCGCCCAGACGGCCUACGUGGGGGAUCAUCGGAUCUUCCGCUCUUACACGAGUCGAGGUCGGAUUAGCUAGUUGGGGGGGUAAAGGCCUACCAAGGCGACGAUCCGUAGCUGGUCUGAGAGGAUGAUCAGUCACACUGGAACUGAGACACGGUCCAGACUCCUACGGGAGGCAGCAGUGGGGAAUAUUGGACAAUGGGCGAAAGCCUGAUCCAGCCAUGCCGCGUGUGUGAAGAAGGUCUUCGGAUUGUAAAGCACUUUAAGUUGGGAGGAAGAGCAGUAAGUUAAUACCCUGCUGUUUUGACGUUACCAACAGAAUAAGCACCGGCUAACUUCGUG